rnacentral:rRNA from 1 species
UACAGAGGUCUCAAGCGUUGUUCGGAUUCAUUGGGCGUAAAGGGUGCGUAGGCGGCGCGGUAAGUCGGGUGUGAAAUCUUGGAGCUUAACUCCGAAACUGCAUUUGAUACUGCCUUGCUCGAGUACUGGAGAGGAGAUUGGAAUUUACGGUGUAGCAGUGAAAUGCGUAGAUAUCGUAAGGAAGACCAGUGGCGAAGGCGAAUCUCUGGACAGUUACUGACACUGAGGCACGAAGGCCAGGGGAGCAAACGGG